GACGAACGCUGGCGGCGUGCUUAACACAUGCAAGUCGAACGGAAAGGCCCUGCUUUUGUGGGGUGCUCGAGUGGCGAACGGGUGGGUAACACGUGAGUAACCUGCCCUUGAUUUUGGGAUAACUUCAGGAAACUGGGGCUAAUACCGGAUAGGAGCUCCUGCUGCAUGGUGGGGGUUGGAAAGUUUCGGCGGUUGGGGAUGGACUCGCGGCUUAUCAGCUUGUUGGUGGGGUAGUGGCUUACCAAGGCUUUGACGGGUAGCCGGCCUGAGAGGGUGACCGGCCACAUUGGGACUGAGAUACGGCCCAGACUCCUACGGGAGGCAGCAGUGGGGAAUAUUGCACAAUGGGCGGAAGCCUGAUGCAGCAACGCCGCGUGCGGGAUGACGGCCUUCGGGUUGUAAACCGCUUUCGCCUGUGACGAAGCGUGAGUGACGGUAAUGGGUAAAGAAGCACCGGCUAACUACGUG
rnacentral:rRNA from 1 species